rnacentral:rRNA from 1 species
CGUUCGACGAUUUUCCGGGUUGAUCCUGGCAGAGGUCACUGCUAUCGGGGUUCGAUUAAGCCAUGCGAGUCGAGAGGGUUCGGCCCUCGGCGUACUGCUCAGUAACACGUGGAUAACCUGCCCUAAGGAAGGGGAUAACCCCGGGAAACUGGGGAUAAUACCCUAUAGGUUACAGAUGCUGGAAUGCUCUGUAACCGAAAGCUCCGGCGCCUUAGGAUGGAUCUGCGGCCGAUUAGGUUGUUGUCGGGGUAACGGCCCAACAAGCCAGUAAUCGGUACGGGUUGUGGGAGCAAGAGCCCGGAGUUGGAUUCUGAGACACGAAUCCAGGCCCUACGGGGCGCAGCAGGCGCGAAAACUUUACAAUGCGGGCAGCCGUGAUAAGGGAACCUCGAGUGCCUGUAUAUGCAGGCUGUCUGGGUGUCUAAAACACACCUAAAGAAAGGGCCGGGCAAGACCGGUGCCAGCCGCCGCGGUAAUACCGGCGGCUCGAGUGGUGGCCACUUUUAUUGGGCUUAAAGCGUUCGUAGCUGGGUUAUUAAGUCCCUUGGGAAAUCCGACGGCUUAACCGUCGGGCGUCUAAGGGAUACUGGUAAUCUUGGAACCGGGAGAGGUGAGGGGUACUUCGGGGGUAGGAGUGAAAUCCUGUAAUCCUCGAGGGACCACCUGUGGCGAAGGCGCCUCACCAGAACGGCUUCGACAGUGAGGGACGAAAGCUGGGGGAGCAAACCGGAUUAGAUACCCGGGUAGUCCCAGCCGUAAACGAUGUGCGUUAGGUGUAUCGGUGACCACGAGUCACCGAGGUGCCGAAGGGAAACCGUGAAACGUACCGCCUGGGAAGUACGGUCGCAAGGCUGAAACUUAAAGGAAUGGGCGGGGAGGCAC